GACGAACGCUGGCGGCGUGCCUAAUACAUGCAAGUUGAGCGAUGAAGCUUGGUGCUUGCACCUCUUUGAAGAGCAGCGGACGGGUGAGUAACGCGUGGGGAAUCUGCCUUUGAGCGGGGGACAACAUUUGGAAACGAAUGCUAAUACCGCAUAACAACUUUAAACAUAAGUUUUAAGUUUGAAAGAUGCAAUUGCAUCACUCAAAGAUGAUCCCGCGUUGUAUUAGCUAGUUGGUGAGGUAAAGGCUCACCAAGGCGAUGAUACAUAGCCGACCUGAGAGGGUGAUCGGCCACAUUGGGACUGAGACACGGCCCAAACUCCUACGGGAGGCAGCAGUAGGGAAUCUUCGGCAAUAGACGAAAGGCUGACCGAGCAAAGCCGCGUGAGUGAAGAAGGUUGUCGGAUCGUAAAACUCUGUUGGUAGAGAAGAACGUUGGUGGGAGUGGAAAGCGCAUGAAGUGACGGUAACUACCCAGAAAGGGACGGCUAACUACGUG
rnacentral:rRNA from 1 species